rnacentral:lncRNA from 1 species
AACAUGUAAAACUAAUUAUAAAUAUAACAACAGCUCUACAAAAACAAGAUAUUACCAUAUUUUAGAGACAUGACCAAUUACAAUUAGAAAGCACGAUCCUACAGGAUUGCUGUUUGUAUUUAUUCAGUCAUUUAUUCAUUCAACAAAUAUUUAACAGGAAGAAAGAUUAUAAGAACUAACUUUAAGCAUGAAGGUUAAAUUUUGCAUAAAGUUAAAUUUUGUUAAACAUGAAGUAUUGAACCAUCAUGACUGCCUUACCCUGGUAAAUGAUUUUUAUUUAAAUGAAAAUAUUUCAUGUGACUUAAUUCCAAGCCGUUGAUUUCACAAAUGACUUAAAAAUAUAUUUCACUUAUAUGAGGUUAUGUGGAGUAAGCCUAUGGUUUAAAUCCUGGUUUUAGAUUAGUAUUACCUAGAGAACUUUAAAAAACUUUUAGAUGCCACGUGCCACUCUGGAACAACUGACUGAGACUUUCUGAAGCUGGUAUCUGGGAAUAUAUAUAUAUAUAUUUCUUUUGGUCUUUUCUAGGGCCACUCCCACAGCAUAUGGAGGUUCCCAGGCUAGGGGUCUAAUCAGAGCUGCGGACGCUGGCCUACGCCACAGCCACAGCAACUCAGGAUCCGAGCGGCAUCUGUGACCUACACCACAGCUCACGGCAACGCCAGAUCCUUAACCCACUGAGCAAGGCCAGGGAUUGAACCCACAACCUCAUGGUUCCUAGUUGGAUUCGUUAACCACUGCGCCACGAUGACGGGAACUCCAGGAACUAAUAUUUUUAAUUUAAAAGUUCCCUGGAUGCUGCUGCUGUGCAGCAAGGUUAGGAACCCUGAAACAUUGCCUAUUUUUGCUAAGUCAGGAGAGUAAUGCCACCCCAAAAGGAAGAAUAUCAUUAAGUUGAUCUUGAUAUUCCAUUAAUGAAAUUUAAAUUCUUUCUUAAUAAUUGAAAGGCAACAAAAACAUUUUCUUAGCUCUCAUGUCGAAUAAGGGAGGCCAUGUAUAACAGCUUUUUAGCUAGAGUUGCGGAAAUUAGCACUUGAUCUAAGGAGAUAUACACAUGACUUCUGAAAGCGUUAUUGAUGCCAAGCCUAGCGUGAGGAAGGAAGCCAUGUUAAUCACACGGGUUUCAGGUCCAUUAGAAACACCAUAGAGGGAGAGAAACUCCUUUUUGCCAAAUGGAAAAUGUCAAAAAAUCAGCAGGGUAAAAAAGAAUUGGAUUUUCACGCUUCUAAGAAGGGGGGAAAGAAGCAGAACAGAAACUAAAAACAGGCCAGCCGAUUCUCCUAAAUAAGUCAAUGUAGUAUGUGUCCAUCAUUAAUUCAACAUAGUGCUGUUUAAUUGACCACCUCUUUAACAUAAAAAGAACCCCUUCUCUUGAUUCAUGUCUUCUCCCUACCUGCUGUUUCAAACUACGGAUCUAGGCUUGGUAAACCAUGAAUCUGUCCUUACCUGCUGGUUUAAAUCCCUCAAUUCAGAUUCUGUCUGUUCUUUUCUGCUGUUCAUUGUUUCUACAUCUGUCUGCCCCCUGGCAGAGUUAAAAGAUGCUGUUAAAAGAAAAAUACAGACGGUGAGAUCACUUUUGAAAUAUUUUUCAGAACAUGAUGAGUUUUCAUUAGAGUAUAUGGAAUGUAUGCUUUAAAUAAUGUACCUAUUAUAUAAAGAAGUUAAAUCUUUAGUAUAAACAGUGUAAUGAGGCUUGAAAAUUCAGAACUAUCUUGAGAAUUGAGUUUAUAAUUAUAAAUAGAAGCCUUCCUAACCAAAUGGAAUCAAUAUUUUCUAGCAAAAUUGGUUACAAGAAAUGUCUUGUAAAAAGAACCAUUUUUUAUUACUGUCUUUGAGGGGAAAAUAAUCAAGGUGAAUUGAAAUGUAUCCUGUAUAAACUAAUUUGUAUAAAUUAAUAUGUAUCAUGUAUAAAUAUUGUUCCUUUAUAAACUCUUAUAAACUAAGACUGUGAAUACACAGUGAUGCAUACAGUAACACUUAAUACUGAAAUAUCUGAAAAAUCUAACCAUGGAAGGGUCUUACAUGGCAUUUGGCUUCAAUACAGAUGACAUACUGGGGAAUGCAACCCCUAAUAUAUGUACUGAAAGACAGAACCUCCCUGCAAUUGAAACUUGUUCUGUAGGUUCAUCACAUGGACCAAGGGGAUAAUACUAGUACCUGCAAUUAAUUAAGACACUUAGAAUGGUGCCUGGCACAGUGUAAGCUGUGUGCUAUUACCAACAUAUUUGCUAUUAUCAGCAUUAUUAGCACAGUUCUCUGUAAUGUGAUUCCCAAAGAGAUAAGUAUCUCUGACAUUUAAACACAAAAGAGAAAAGAGUGAAUUUCCUAAAGGCUUUACAGUAGAUGAUGUUGGUGUCACUCCUUUAAGAGUCUAAAGAAAUUAAGCACAGCACAAUAAAAAGGAAAUAUGCAACGCAUAGACAUAUAUAAAGCAUAUUCUAUGACUUAAAAAAAAUACGCUUUGAUCCACCUAUGUACUUUGAAAAUACCUAUCAAAAUACCUAUCAAUACCUCUUGGAAUGUGAGGUAUACAGUUCAUUGAUGACGAGUAGGUAGCAUUGCCCACUAAAGAAGUAUGAAGAAAAUUUGAAAUGCAUUGCCAGAUGUGUUCAUUGAAUGAAAUUCAUCAAUAAAAAUGAGAAAUACUUUUAAAGUUCUUCAUUUACUGUGUAUAGGAGAUUUAGCUUUGAUGACAUAUCCGAUGGUCAAUAUAGAAAGCUCCAGUUCACAUUGACAUUCAAAAUCUUUUUUAUAAUUUUAAUUAAAAUUUAAAGGAGUCCAGUGAAUUAUAUCAUUAACCUUUCACCACUAGAAUUCAAGGAAUCGCAUUUUAGGUCGAUGUGAAUAAUGAGUUUGUUAUCUCAUCCAAGUGUCCUUUUGUACAUGUCCCCAUGCCAGAAACGGGAUUAUUAAAUCAUCACAUAUUUGGCAGUCUUCAAGGAGAGAAAAGUGGGAAAUAGGGAUUUCAGGUCAGGACUGUUUUUGAUUGACAAUACUGCAUAACAAAUUUAGGGAAGAUUCUUCUCAGUUUCAUUCAUUGUUCUCAGCACUGCAAUUUUUUUUUUUUUUAAUCUGGAAAUGGUUAAAGGUCUGCCAAAGAGGGAAGAGAAGCAUGAUUUUUAAAAAAAGUUUAAUAAAGCAGAAAUUUGUUCAAAAGUUUUUAGCAGUGCUGUCUGUGAUAUGGCUGAUUACAUCUGUGUUUGGAUCUUGUGAUGGAAAAACAGCUAGAGGACUAGUGCUAAUCACCUGGCCAAUUAUUAUGAACUUCUGAAUUUUAUUUUUAUUUAUUUAUUUAUUUAGUCUUUUCUAGGGCUGCACUUGCAGCAUAUGGAGGUUCUCAGGCUAGGGGUCUAAUUGGAGGUGUAGCUGCCGGCCUAUGCCAGAGCCACAGCAACACAGGAUCCGAGCCACGUCUUCAACCUACACCACAGCUCACGGCAACGCUGGAUCCUUAACCCUCUGAGCAAGGCCAGGGAUCGAACCGGCAACCUCAUGGUUCCUAGUCGGAUUCGUUAGCCAAUGAGCCACGAUGGGAACUCCUGAACUACUGAAUUUUAAAGCAAAAGAGAAGGUGAAAGAAUGGAAAGAACUUGUGUUUGAUGAAGAUUACUGGGGUUGAAAUAUUCCUCUAUUGCACAUAAGACAUAACCCGUAUUUUAAGAAGGGGGAGGGAUGGGGGAUAGUGGGAGGAAGUGGAAGGCAAUCCAAAUCAGCAAAACUUGGCUCGUGACUAAAAAAACUGAUAACAAAGAAGGGAAGCUUUGAACCAACAGUGCUGUAUGACAGGUUAAUUCCGUUUCACAUGAGCAGAAUUGAUAAAUCUAAAGAGGAAAUGCAGCCUCUGUUUCUCACAACAAUAAAGAGGAUUUUUAGUCAAUAACAGAUUCGAGGAAAUCUGUUGGUGGCCCCCAAGAAAAAUACCCCCAAGGCUGUUAACGGCUGGUGACGGAAGUGUAAGGGCCAGUUUUUGUGGACAGGCUAUUAUGAGGAGGGAAGUGGAUUGCCUUCCCACAUGAAUUACCGUUUCCAUGGCAGAGGGUCUGAUGAAAUUUUGAAAUGACCUUCUUCCCGUUGGCCUAUAUUGUAGCAAAUGCCACUGCCAGAUCAAUUGGCAAGGAAUCUCUAAGGAACUAUACACAUUCAGGUAGAAAACAAAAGGGCUCGAAGAUAUAUUUGACUUGACCUCUUCUUACAAUGGAAGAUUAUAAGUUUAGAGAAGAAAGAAAAUUGGGAGUGAAAAAAUGGUAGCUGUGUAGAAAAACAGGAUUUAUUUUCCUUGACAUGUUUUAAUCUAUGAAAAUAUGUCUUUGAUUUGGAUUGAAUUACUUGGUAGGGAAAAAAGAACGGUGACCCAGAUAUUGCCAAUAUAAUCAGUAGGUUUUUAAUCUAAAAGUAGAGAGGGGGAAGGGAGAGAGGAAAAAAAAAAAUCUUUGGUUAAAUUAAAAACAAAAAAAGAACUAGAGUCCAUAGAUUAUUAUAACUAAAUUUUAUUGAGUAUUUAAUAUAUAUUAUAAUUCUAAACUUCUUCCACCCAUUAGCUUGUUUAAUCAUCUCCACUAACUUACUGGCUAAGUUUUUUUUCGCACUUUUUAGUUAAAUCAUCAGAUGUAGAUGUGGAAAAUGGGACCUGAAGAAAUUUAAAAAGACUUGGUUAAGGUCAUUUGUUAGUAAAGAUAUAAAAUCCGCAAUCCAACUCCUGAGCUCAUAGAUGUGAAUAUUAUUCUCUAUGGGCAACCAUGAGAAAGUGCCAAGCAACUUAGUAAAGAAAACUUUGAGUGUCCUCUCUUUAGGAUGACCAAGAAAUAAACAAAACAAAGGUAAAAUUUACAUAGAGGUAAGACUUGCCAGCCAGAUGGAGAAAAUGGAUGAUAAAAUUU